UACGGAGGGUGCAAGCGUUAUCCGGAUUCACUGGGUUUAAAGGGUGCGUAGGCGGGUUGGUAAGUCCGUGGUGAAAUCUCCAAGCUUAACUUGGAAACUGCCGUGGAUACUAUCAAUCUUGAAUAUCGUGGAGGUAAGCGGAAUAUGUCAUGUAGCGGUGAAAUGCUUAGAUAUGACAUAGAACACCAAUUGCGUAGGCAGCUUACUACACGAUCAUUGACGCUGAGGCACGAAAGCGUGGGGAGCAAACGGG
rnacentral:rRNA from 1 species